rnacentral:rRNA from 1 species
UUAAAUUGAAGAGUUUGAUCAUGGCUCAGAUUGAACGCUGGCGGCAGGCCUAACACAUGCAAGUCGAACGGUAACAGAAAGCAGCUUGCUGCUUUGCUGACGAGUGGCGGACGGGUGAGUAAUGUCUGGGAAACUGCCUGAUGGAGGGGGAUAACUACUGGAAACGGUAGCUAAUACCGCAUAACGUCGCAAGACCAAAGAGGGGGACCUUCGGGCCUCUUGCCAUCGGAUGUGCCCAGAUGGGAUUAGCUUGUUGGUGGGGUAACGGC